rnacentral:rRNA from 1 species
UACAGAGGGUGCGAGCGUUAAUCGGAAUUACUGGGCGUAAAGCGCGCGUAGACGGUUUUGUAAGUCAGAUGUGAAAUCCCUGGGCUCAACCUGGGAACUGCAUUUGAGACUGCAUGGCUAGAGUAUCGAAGAGGGAAGUGGAAUUUCCGGUGUAGCGGUGAAAUGCGUAGAUAUCGGGAGGAACACCUGUGGCGAAAGCGGCUCACUGGACCACAACUGACGCUGAGGCGCGAAAGCUAGGGGAGCAAACAGG